rnacentral:rRNA from 1 species
GAGAGGGAGCCUGAGAAACGGCUACCACAUCCAAGGAAGGCAGCAGGCGCGCAAAUUACCCACUCCCGGCACGGGGAGGUAGUGACGAAAAAUAACGAUACGGGACUCAUCCGAGGCCCCGUAAUCGGAAUGAGUACACUCUAAACCCUUUAACGAGGAUCAAUUGGAGGGCAAGUCUGGUGCCAGCAGCCGCGGUAAUUCCAGCUCCAAUAGCGUAUAUUAAAGUUGUUGCGGUUAAAAAGCUCGUAGUCGAAUUUGUGCCCCGCGCCGCCGGUUCAUCGUUCGCGGUGUUAACUGGCGUUUCGCGGGACGUCCUGCCGGUGGGCUUAGCUCGAGAGGGCGGCCCAACUCAAUCCCGCCGCGGUGCUCUUCAUUGAGUGUCGAGGUGGGCCGGCACGUUUACUUUGAACAAAUUAGAGUGCUUAAAGCAGGCUAAAACUUCGCCUGAAUACUGUGUGCAUGGAAUAAUGGAAUAGGACCUCGGUUCUAUUUUGUUGGUUUUCGGAACCCCGAGGUAAUGAUUAAUAGGAACGGAUGGGGGCAUUCGUAUUGCGACGUUAGAGGUGAAAUUCUUGGAUCGUCGCAAGACGGACAGAAGCGAAAGCAUUUGCCAAAAACGCUUUCAUUGAUCAAGAACGAAAGUUAGAGGUUCGAAGGCGAUCAGAUACCGCCCUAGUUCUAACCAUAAACGAUGCCAGCUAGCGAUCCGCCGACGUUCCUCCGAUGACUCGGCGGGCAGCUUCCGGGAAACCAAAGCUUUUGGGUUCCGGGGGAAGUAUGGUUGCAAAGCUGAAACUUAAAGGAAUUGACGGAAGGGCACCACCAGGAGUGGAGCCUGCGGCUUAAUUUGACUCAACACGGGAAACCUCACCAGGCCCGGACACCGGAAGGAUUGACAGAUUGAGAGCUCUUUCUUGGUUCGGUGGGUGGUGGUGCAUGGCCGUUCUUAGUUGGUGGAGCGAUUUGUCUGGUUAAUUCCGAUAACGAACGAGACUCUAGCCUGCUAAAUAGGCGUAUUUCGACAUCCCAAAUACCCGCUGGAGCCGGGUUCGCCCGGUCUCUAUGUGCGGUUUUUACUGUCGGCGUACAAACAAUUCUUCUUAGAGGGACAGGCGGCUUCUAGCCGCACGAGAUUGAGCAAUAACAGGUCUGUGAUGCC